GAAACUGGAAGAAUCACAAUCUACUCAGAGCAGCCAUCCACAAGCACAGAAAUGCAAAAAACAAUGACCUAUCAAUAUGAUAUACUUAAAUUUUGGAUGGCAUGCAGGUGUGGCUUUCACCAUAUUUUUGAUCAUCCUUUAUAAAGACAUUAAAAAAGGACUUCCAGAACUGCUUUAGGAAGGGGUAAGAACAAGGCAAAAGGUAUGUUCAAAGUGAGGGGGAGUAUUUUGCGGGAGAAUAAUGGCAAUUUGUAUUUAUUAUAAUAAUUUUUAAAAUUUAAACAUUCAUCAUAUAUUUUGAUCACACCACAUAGUUGUCAUAAUCUGUGUAAUCUUUUUAAGUUGUAGACUUUUUAUUGUCUUUCUCACCUCUACAAUAUGAGUCCCCACCUACAGUGAAUUACUCUUUCUUAUCCCUACCUUCACUGAAUUUCACAUCAGAUCUCUGUAAAGGUAGACCCUUAUAGGACAUAGCAUGGCACACACCAGGCAACUUAAAAUGUAUGGAUUCCUGGGUUCAAACCCAAGCACAGUUUUAUC
rnacentral:lncRNA from 1 species